AAGUCGUAACAAGGUCUCCGUUGGUGAACCUGCGGAAGGAUCAUUACCAAUCCAAAACUAAAAACCACUGUGAACUGGCUGAAGUACUUGGGCAAGUCUACAGAGGAUGCUUUUCCUUGUAAGGGUGUUGUGCUUGUCACAAUACUCUGAAGGUUAGCACUCCUUUACCCUUGCCCAACAGUAUUAACUACAAUUGAACUUGUUAUGUUAACUGCUGAUUAGUUGCUCUUGCAACUUUUCUGCUACGAAUGAAAACCAAAAGAUUACAACUUUUAGCGGUGGAUCUCUUGGCUCAU
rnacentral:misc_RNA from 1 species